CAACAAGCACAGACCAAAGUUCUGCUUUUCCUUUUAUGCUAGGAUGAAAGAAUAAGGAGGAAACAAAGGCAAAAGGAUUUUCUCCGAAGACCUGAUGCUGAUGCCAUCCAAAGGGUAGUCCCCAAUAAGGUUCCCUGGCCAAAAGCAGAGUUCCAAAGAGCCAGGUAGUACAGACGAGAGAGACAUAGUGGAAGCCAAUCCACAGAAAAAUAAUGUAAUCAAGGCAUCUAUCAUAUGGGAAAACAGACUCCAAAUCGUAAAAGAAGAUCUCCGGAAAACAAUGUUUGAACGGUGAGAAGGAAAGGGCCGCAAGUAACUGGUAAUUUUUCUGGCUUCUUUUUUCAUAUCUUUCUUCCGCUAUUGGACUGGAAGUUUGGCUUGUGAGCAGUAAAAUAAAAGUGGCUGGGAAAUGAAAGCAGCAACCACUGUGGAGG